GAUGAACGCUAGCUACAGGCUUAACACAUGCAAGUCGAGGGGCAGCGCAGUGUAGCAAUACAUGGGCGGCGACCGGCGCACGGGUGCGUAACGCGUAUCCAACCUUCCCGUUACUCAGGGAUAGCCUUCCGAAAGGGAGAUUAAUACCUGAUGGUGUUUGAAUUCCGCAUGUUAUUCAAACUAAAGAUUUAUCGGUAACGGAUGGGGGAUGCGUGACAUUAGAUAGUAGGCGGGGUAACGGCCCACCUAGUCUACGAUGUCUAGGGGUUCUGAGAGGAAGGUCCCCCACACUGGAACUGAGACACGGUCCAGACUCCUACGGGAGGCAGCAGUGAGGAAUAUUGGUCAAUGGUCGGAAGACUGAACCAGCCAAGUAGCGUGAAGGAUGAAGGUUCUAUGGAUUGUAAACUUCUUUUAUACGGGAAUAAAACCUCCCACGUGUGGGAGCUUGUAUGUACCGUAUGAAUAAGCAUCGGCUAACUCCGUG
rnacentral:rRNA from 1 species